rfam:Drosophila pseudoobscura pseudoobscura strain MV2-25 unplaced genomic scaffold Tnknown_group_141, whole genome shotgun sequence.
AAAUCUGUCCUUUUCAGGACCACCAACAUUUUAUAAAGAGAGAUA